CACUUUUCUCCGUUAAAGUUUUGGAAAUAAAGUAAGGACCUAUGGAUAAGUUUGAAGCUCUGAUAUAAUCAACAUUGCUCCAGUAACUUUCAUCCAUCAUUUCCACGCCACUGUCAUUAAAAGCUACCGCUGAUGCACUAGAGGUGUACACAACUCGUUUCACUGUCUUUGAAUUCAAGCAAGCCUUCAAGAUUCCUAAUGUUCCAUCAGCUGCUCCUUGGAUAACUACUUCCUCGGCUUCUCCAUUUCCAAAAUCUUGAGGUACAGGAGUAGCUACAUGAAAGACACCAAUACAUCCUUUAAUAGCCACAUCAAAGCCGUCGGGUUCACUUAAAUCUGCAUAGAAGACUUGUAGUCUCUCUGAUCCUCCUGGUAGACUUGUCAGGAAGCUAACGUCCCUCUUGUGUUCUGGUCACAUAUAUAGCACAAAAUUAAAAAAAAAAAAAAAAAACAUAUUGAAAAUGUUGAUGUUAAAAACAUCUGGUGAAUUAGAACUUUUCAAAAUUCAAUGGAUAGUGGUACAAAUGCCACCCCUAAAUUGUUGCUGCUGCUGUUCUUGUUGUUGUGAUUUCAACUCCUUUAACUGUAGGUGUUAUGAUUUAAACUACUUAUGUUAGAUUUCUUUCAUUUUAAUGGUUUCAUAUUGCAUGAAAAUCUUACCUUUUUUAUAAAUAAAAAAUUCUACUACGGAGUAAAAAAAAAGAAAGAUUAGGGGUUGAUAUAAAUUAUAUGUGUAAUGUGUAUAAGCAGGCAGUAACUACCCCCGCAACCUUUUUAACUUUUCUGUUAAAAAAUAGAAAACUUACCUACAGGGUGAGGUCUGACGGUGGUGUUAACAGAGUAGCCUUGCUCCAGGAGCUUCAUGAUCAACCACGAGGCCAAGUACCCAGUGCCCCCUGUAACACACACUGUUCCUCUUUCUCCUUCCAUUUCUCUCUCCCUCUCUAAGAUGAGUUCGAAUGAAAUUGUGGUGGUGAGUCUUCCUCCCUCUCUGGUUCAUACUCAUGGCAAGAGACGUGUCAACUCCUCUUUCUUAUUUUCAAAAGUGGCUACCUUUUGACAUUCACAGUGAAGCUACCAAACAAAAAGAUUUUUCAAGCAAUCACUUUGAUUUUUCUUUUCUUUUCUUUUCUUUUUCCUUCACUCAGCUGCUGAUAUUGCAUAUGCGGUUCAAUUUAGGGGUGCUGUUUAAAUAGCUUAGACUAAAGAUUCCGAUGAAGAAGCGAUUUCUUUCAUUUAUUUUUUAUUUUUUUAAUGAAAUGUGUGUUCAAAUAAAUUGCCAACACAUUAUUAUGUAAAAAACUAAGAAGCUUGGGAUUUUAUUUUUUUUACUGUAAGAGCUCACAUUGUUUAUAUUUUCAUAUUAUACUAUGCAUGUUCGGUGUCUAAUGACAUGGAUGCAACAAAAACAAAUAAAAAUACAGUGCGAGAACCCUAGUGAGCUAGCCUGACUUGCCAAGCUUAGAAACGCCUGAUUUUUUUUUAUAUUAUUUUUUUUAUAAUUAUUUUUAUAUUAAUGUUUUUUUUAAUGUUUUUUCAAUUUUUUUUAUAUUUAGUUUAAUAUCAUUUUCUCUUUUAUUUUGUUUGGAUAACUAUUUUUAAAUUACGGUUAUUUUUUUGUUAUACAAUUUCAAAGAUUCAUCUAUUAUUAUUUUUUAAUCUCUUGUAUUAACAUAAUUUAUUUUUAAAAAAUAAUCUUUUGUAUUGAUGUACUUUAUUUUUUAAAAAUAAAAUAUUUUUAUUUUCAAAUAAUAUUUAUAAUAUAUGUAGCCUUUCAUGAUAUUUUUUCUUUCUUUAUUAUAUUCAAUCAAUUUAAUAUUUAUAUUUAUUUUUAUUAUCGUUUGAUUGAAUAAAAAAAUAUUUUAAUAAAUAAAUUUAGCAAACACAAUAAGGUAAAUAUCAUAUCUUACGAGAUUAAAUAUCUUGAUCUACAUAUAUCUCUUGAUUUUUCCAGUUUUAUUUUUAGUUAUAGUUUAUGGAUUCUUUUUUAGUUUAUUAAUACAUAGUUUUUGAUUUAUUAUGUAUAUAUAAAUUUUUUAUUUUCACUUCAAAUUUUUUUAAUAUAAAAAUAUGUUGGAAAAGACUGUAUAUAUAUAUUUUUUUUUAUUGAAAAAAAAAGAUCGCUGCAGGUAAAGUGUCUAGUAAAAAGACUGUAUAUAUAAUUUUUUUUUUAUUGAAAAAAAAAGAUCGCUGCAGGUAAAGUGUCUAGUAAAAAGACUGUAUAUAUAAUUUUUUUUUAUUGAAAAAAAAAGAUCGCUGCAGGUAAAGUGUCUAGUAAAAUAAAAACAUUGAACUUUUUAUAGCUAAGAUUAUAUAUUUCGACUGAGAAGGGCUUUCUUUUAAAAAACAAAUUCAUGGAAUGAGUGCUCAGAUUAUUUGUUUGCACAUCCAAUAGCAAACAUUAAAUCUCUUAUAAUUAAUAAACACUAAUGGGUGUGGAAAAACAUUUCUAGACCCACACCCAUAAAUAUUAUGAUAUUAUGGAUUAUAAUAGUAAUUUAUAAUGUUUAGUAUUUUAUUUUAAUUUACCUUUUAAACAUUUAUUAUGAUAUCAAAAAAAUAUCAUAAUAUUGAGUUGAUAUUUAAUUUAAUGAUUGCGGUAACAUUUGUGACAUUGAUUAUUAAAAAACAUAUAAUACCUUAAUGUUUCACCGUGGUUUGUGAGUGAGAAUAUCAUUGAUUCACAUAGUGUUUUUAUUUUUUUAUCCUUCAUUUUUUAUUAUUUAGGUUCUCAAACUUUUUUUUUCAACUUCAUUCUUUUACAUUUCAUUAAUUGAUCAUUGAACUUAAUGAUUUGGUUUUUUUUUUGUAUUUUCAUGAUCUCAAAAACUUAUUGGUAUUGAGUUGGCUCUAAAUUUUGCAAAGUAGAAUUCAGUUUGAUUGUUUGUGAAGAGUUAAAAAUUAAGGGAUCAAAAUUGAAAGUGAGGUGAAAGGACAACUCUUUAUUAAAAAAAUUCAUUUUUGAUCCUUUAUUUUCUUAGUCUAACCAUCAAGUUUUUUUUAUAAUUUUAUCCAUCAACAUUAUAUUGAUUGGUGUUUCAGCUUUUUGCAAAUAAAAAUUUAGUUUUAUUGUUUUUUAAAAAUUAAAAAUGAGGAGAUCAAAACUAAAAGCUUGGUGUAAUGGCAAGCCUUUUAAAAACAACUAGUGUCACUGCUUUGUAUCCUUGAGAUUUUUUCCAAAUCCUAUUUGGCCUUUUUAAUUUGAGAAUUAUACGAUUUAGUCUAAUAUUUUAUUUAUUCAUAUUUUAGUCCUCAAGUUUGAGAGAGAAGAGAUAGAGAGAGUUGUUGAAUUACAACGAAGGAGAGAUAAAGUUGCUGGUUAACCAUAUUUCAACAUAAAAAAAAAUUGAUCUUGGUGCCAACAUUACAUUCAACAAUAAAAGUCUCAUUGAGGUCGUCUUAAACCUUUAACUUGCUUGAAAGGUAGAUCGUGUUAAGAGAAGAAUUUUUUUUUUCUAGUUUGGUUUUGUGUUUUUGAUAUUUUUUAGGGGUUUUAGGAUGAUAAAUUGUUUUUUGAGGUUCUAAAAGUGUUUAUUAAGUAUUUUUAGAUGGAAAUUGAUUGGAAAAUAGAUUUUAGAUCAAAAGGACACCUCCAACUUUUUGAUCACCUAUAUGGUGGUGAAUUAUGGACAAGAGACAACCCUUUGUCUGUUUUUUUUUAAACGGGGCAAGCAAUCUAAUUUGAAAAAAAAAAAAAAAAAAACCCAAACGCACAAGCCUGGACUAGCAGACCAACACCCUUGUGUUUAAUUUUUUAUGGCUAAAGGGUGUUAAGGGUUUGUUUGGGAAGCGUUCCCUCAAAUUUUGAAAUUUUUGUUUUCGCUAAUGUUUUUUAUAUUUUUGAAUUGUUUUGAUAUGCUAGUAUCAAAAAUAAUUUUUUUAAAUAAAAAAAUAUUAUUUUAAUGUAUUUUUAAGUAAAAAACAUUUUGAAUCGCAACCGUUACUACAAUCCUAAACAUAUUUUAAGUCAUCCAGCCUGGUGGGUCUAACAUUUUGUUUUAUUAUAUUUCCAACAAUCGAGGUGUAAUUUAUUCAAAAUUAAAUAAUUUAUAAUAUAUUGGGUAUAUGUGUAUUUUAAUUUUAGAUUAAUUAAAAAUAUAUUUUAAAUAUUAUUUUAUUAGAUUCUUAUUUGACAAAGAAAGAUGGGAUACGUUAUAAACAAUUAAUUAGCCAGUUGAAUAUCUGGGAAUCAAAAACUCGUUAAUUUAAAGAGUCUUUAUUAUUAUUAUUAUUAUUAUUAUUAUUAUUAUUAUUUGAUUUAUUAGAUCAACUACAUUAGUUACAACGCGUUGGCCUUGGAAUUCUGAUGCACCGGAAACCACUGAAAAUAUUCAAUGAAUUUUACAAAACCACAUCAGCAAACUGUCUAGAAGAUAUGAUAGGGCCGGCAGAUGCUAUGGUGAUUCUAUUACACAACAGUUUGUCUUAACCUGAACUAGAGAUAACCCUUUUCUUUGCAGCUUUGAAUUGCCCCAUCAAACAUUUCAUCGAGCCCGCACUUAAAUUUGAAACCCAAAUCCAGUAAUUUCUUUGAUGAGAGGCCAGCGAGUCUGGUGCCUUCGAUUUCCUUCAAAGAUCUGCCAGCAAUUAAGGAGAAGUAAUUAACAUUUAGCUUUUAUUUUCAAGAUUAAGAGAAGAACAAGGGGAAGAUUAAAAAGUACUCACUCCAAUGAUGGUAGGGGGCACUCAGGAUACUUGGACGACAGAAAUUUAGACAUCUUUUCAAUGGUUAUUGUGUGUGAAGAACAAAUGUUUCUCCCUUUCGCAUCAGGAUGUUCGAAGAGGAAAAUGUGUGCCCUGGCCACAUCAUCAACAUGCACCAUAGACAUAUUCAAAAGAGUACCGUAUUUCUGCUGCUCACCUGAAAUGAUAUCCAUUGGAAAAAGUUCCUUCAAGAAAUCAUAGGAUCAUUAAGAAGAACAAACAGAACAGAACUUACCCAGUACCAUAGCCAGCGACGUGUGCACCGAGCCAGGAAACUUGGAACAAAUGAAAGGUCCAUUAAUAAAAGAAGGGAUUAUUGACACAAGAUCAAAUCCAUGUUCAUCAGCAAAUUCGAGAGCUCUCUUCUCCGUUAAUGUCUUGGAAAUAAAGUAAGGGCCCGCGAAGGAUUUUAAGGCCUUAACAUACUCUACAUCAGUCCAAUAACUCUCAUCCAUUGUGUCCACAUCACUGUCAUUAAACACUACUGCUGCGCCACUGGAAGUGUACACUACUCUCUUUACAGUCAUGGAGUUCAAGCAAGCCUUCAAGAUGCCUAAUGUUCCAUCAAUUGCUCUUUGGACGACCACUUCCUCAGGUUCCUUGCUUUCAAAAUCAACAGGGGUAGCUACAUGAAAGACUCCAAUGCAUCCUUUAAUAGCCACCUCAAAGCUGUCGGGGUCACUUAGAUCUGCCUGGAAGAUUUGAAGCUUCUCGGAUGCUUCUGGUAGACUUGUUAGGAAGCUAACAUCUCUCUUGUGUUCUAGUCACGCAUCAAAAUGAUGAAAAGACUGAGAAUUAACUUUUGAUAUUUAUGCAGGUGGGAUUCACAACCUAUGCUGAAUCAAACGAGUUGAAACUUUAAUCAUCUUUGAGAAAAAGAAAAUUGAUGCAAUGUAACCAUCGCAGACUCGCAGUACUUACCCAUCCAAACUAAUUACGUGCCAAAUGAUGUUAUUGAUUAGAUCAAUAACAUCACGCAUAAGAAAUCGUCUUUAUCGAUCAAAUUAGUGUUUCUGUUGGUGAAUCCCACUAGACAUGUCUCAAAUUCUAAGAGUCAUUGGGAUGCAAGUAAGAAAAAGUGGCAGAACAGACAUGUUCUCAAUUUGAUUAUAGGAUCUUAUUAAAGCAGUUGAAUAAUUUUAUUAGCAUGAACUUUAUUAGGAGAUAAUAUACAAAGAAAAGUAGCCAGCUUGAUCUGCUGUGCCAAAAAGCUGUGCAAAAUUAACACUUCGCUCUUUCCCAGUAGAGAAGCCAUAGAGGGCUCGAUCUUUUAUUCUAAAGGAAGAGGGGUGUGUGUGUGUGUGGGGAGGGUGGGGGGGGGGGGUGCAAAGUUUUGUAACGAUGUUAAAAUGAAUUUGUUUAUCUAUAAACGAUGAAUUUAAUGUAUCUGUUCAUGUAAGUAGUUUCUAAAUAUGGUAAUGUCCUGCUCAUUAUCGAAGCUGUGUUGACAAUGAGAAGAGGAACAAAAGCUCACCUGGGUCAGGUCUAAUGGUGGUGUGAACAGAGUAGCCAUGUUCAAGGAGCCUCAUGAUCAACCAAGAUGCUAAGAACCCAGUACCACCAGUUACACACACUUUACCUUUAUCUCCUUCCAUCUCUCUCUCUCUCUCUCUCUCGAAAUGAAGAUGAAUCGCACAAAUGGCAGAGUAUAGAGAGUUAUAUAUAAGUAGCACAUUAAUUAAAAAAAAUAGCACCGUUAAAAAAUUAAUUAAAAACAUAAUAUACUCUAUAAAAUUACAGAUAAUGUAUUGAUUGAGAGUCAGCAUAUAGUAUAUGCGAUUUAUUUACAAAAUAUUAGUUUUUUUAAAAAAUAAUUUUGAAUUUUGAAUUUAAGAAACAAAUAAAUAUUAUUUACUAUCUUUAUAGUGAUAAUGAUAAUUUUUAUUUAUUUUUUUAAUUAUAAAAAUAAUAGACAAUAAUUAUAAGUUUUAAAUUUACAGGUUUUAAUAUUUAAUAUAUCAUUUAUGAUUUUAUAAUUUUUUCAAUUAAGUUUUUAAUUAUAGUAUUUCUUCAAUAUUUUAUUUGUACAGCACUAUUAUUUUUUUUAAAAAAAAUUCACAGAUAAACGUAUGAUUUAUUUGUUUUUACUUUUCAAAAGUGUUUUUUAAAAAAUUAAAAAAUUUUUAUUUUAUUUUAAAUUUUUAUUUUUUUAUGUUUUAAAAUUAUUUUGAUAUGUUGAUAUAAUAUAAAAAAUAAUUUUUAAAAAAUAAAAAAAUAUAUUUUUAAUGUAUUUAUAAAUAAAAAACUGUAACUACACUCUUCAACACUCGUGUUCGAAGAAAGCUAUUUCAACGUUUUGGUAGUGGAUAACUGUCAAAUCUUGUCUUGGUUUUUCUCGGUUCUCCAUCAUCGCAUUAUUAAAAAUAAAAUUUUAGUUUUUAAUUUACCCCCACAGAACAUUUCAGAGUAACCCAGCACCAUCGCCAAUUACGCGUGAACUGAAGCAGGCAUGUUUGGACAAAUGAAGGGGCCAAGAAUAUAGGUUGGUAUGAAAGUUACAAGGUCUAAUCCGUUGAAGUUUUGGAAAUAAAGUGUUGGUUAUGUGGUAGAUGUUGUUUUUUAAAGUUUUUUUUUUUUGAAAAUAUAUUAAAAUAAUAUUUUUUAAUUUUUAAUAUUAAUAUAUCAAAAUGAUAAAAAAACUUAAACAAAUAUUAAUUUAAAUUUUUUUUAAAAAAUUAAAAAUUUAAAAAAGUGUUGAACCGCAAUCCUAAACAGCCUUAAAGUAAAGACCUGUGGAUAAGUUUGAAGCUCUGAUAUAAUCAACAUUGCUCCAGUAACUUCCAUCCAUCAUUUCCACGCCACUGUCAUUAAAAGCUACCGCUGAUGCACUAGAGGUGUACACAACUCGUUUCACUGUCUUUGAAUUCAAGCAAGCCUUCAAGAUUCCUAAUGUUCCAUCAGCUGCUCCUUGGAUAACUACUUCCUCGGCUUCUCCAUUUCCAAAAUCUUGAGG
rnacentral:lncRNA from 1 species